UUCCGGGAGGAUUGACAGAUUGAGACCUCUUUCUUGAUUCGGUGGAUGGUGGUGCAUGUCCGUUCUCAGUUGGUGGAGCGAUUUGUCUGGUUAACUCCGAUAACGAACGAGACUCUAGCCUAUUAAAUAGGUGCGUGGUUCUCUGCACCUUUAGCUAAGGAAACUUUAUUCCCUGCGGCCAAUCAAUUAACGAUCUCCCGCGCGUGGCGUGUGCUCGCGACCCAAGAGCACGGGCUGAUUUGCCCAUAGCAAAGGGACCUAUGUUAUACCCGUGCCACACGGGACAUUCGAAUGCCAUUUACAACGAAUGACAUUUGAACGAUCGGCCAAUUAGCGCGCGACACUCCAAGCGUGGGGCGUUCCACGCGCAACAGAUCGCGAGCCGAUUCGUCGAUCACACGAAUGUCCAUGGUUGAAAAAACAUCGAGACUGCAGGGUAAACAACACAACACUAAAAAAGUCUCUAGAGACUAUUUAGUGUUGAGUCGUUUACCCGCAGUCUCGGGGUUUUCUAAACCAUGUGCAAUGUACACCAGCUCGUUUGCGCCCUUACAUUUUGUACACGAAUGUCAUUCGUUGUAAAUGGCAUUCAAAUUGCCCAUGUGGCACGGGUAUUAAAGGGGCGGUGCAACGAUAUUCAAUUGAAAUGUUUUUCACUUUACACGAACUUACUGGCACUAGUGGGACUCAAAGUUACUCACACGCAACGCCACUGGCCAAGACACUCCUUUGUUGCGGUGUAAGUUCAGAGACAAAAGCGAUCAUUUUCAUUCAAUCUCUCCUUUGCAAAAUUUGAUGACGUAAAGUGGGGAUCGCAGUAAAGUGGGGACACCCAUAUGACGAUAUUUGAAUGCUGUUCAUAGAUUGGACCCGAGCAUUGCGUGCGCACUCGAUUAGGGCUCGUGAUAAUUACUAGCUCGAGAUGCAUUCGGGUAGUGACCCGUGUCCAAUCGCUGCAACGACGACAAUAGCCGAGCCAUAACAAUAUCUAGAACUCAGCGCGUGUCCUGUGCUUUGCCAACCCCAGUGCGUGGCUAUGAUCAACAUUGGCGGCAUAUAAUUGACUCCAGAUCACGUGGCCGCUUGUUCUGGCUGCGAGUUGAGGGGGUGAACGCUGCUCGUUUUUCUAUAAUUUUUUGACUGGGACUUCUAUUGCGUGGGGUGAAAAACGAUCGCGUGUUUCAUAGGUCAUUAACGUCAGGGAUCCGUUCUAAGCGGUAUUUGCGCAAAGUACAAAAAUUGAUGCAUCGCCCCUUUAAAGGUACCUUUAUGUUGACCGUGUGAGUGGGGUAUAGAGGGACAAGCGGCUCCUAGCCGCACAAAACAGAGCAAUAACAGGUCUGUGAUGCUCUUAGA
rnacentral:rRNA from 1 species